rnacentral:rRNA from 1 species
UACGUAGGGUGCAAGCGUUGUUCGGAGUUACUGGGCGUAAAGGGCGCGUAGGCGGCCUGGCAAGUGGAAGGUGAAAUCCCUCGGCUUAACCGAGGAACUGCCCUCCAAACUGCUUGGCUUGAGUCCGGGAGAGGUGAGUGGAAUUCCCAGUGUAGCGGUGAAAUGCGUAGAUAUUGGGAGGAACACCAGUGGCGAAGGCGGCUCACUGGACCGGAACUGACGCUGAGGCGCGAAAGCGUGGGGAGCAAACGGG